GACGAACGCUGGCGGCGUGCUUAACACAUGCAAGUCGAACGAAAAGGCCCUGCUUUCAGUGUACUCGAGUGGCGAACGGGCGGGUAACACGUGGGUGAUCAGCCCUGCACUUCGGGAUAAGCCUGGGAAACUGGCUCUAAUUCCUGCCAGAUACCAUUUUUAGCGUCAUGGUUGAAAAGUUUUGUCGGUGUUGGCUGAGCUCGAUGCCUAACGGCUUGCUGGUGGGGUAAUGGCCUACCAAAGCGGCUACGGGUAGCAGGCCUGCGAGAGUGGCCGGCCACACUGGGACUGAGGGACGGCCGAGACAGCGACGCGUGGGAGAUGGGCGGAAGAUUGAACAAGCAGCGCAGGCCGAGUGCAGCGGCGCCGCGGGGCGGAAAACGGUCUUCGGAGUGUAAAACCCUUGCGCAAGGGACGAAGCUUUUUGUGACGGUACCUAGACAAGAAGCACCGGCUAACUACGUG
rnacentral:rRNA from 1 species